rnacentral:rRNA from 1 species
AGUGAGCGCUGGCGGUAGGCCUAACACAUGCAAGUCGAACGGCAGCACAGUAAGAGCUUGCUCUUACGGGUGGCGAGUGGCGGACGGGUGAGGAAUACAUCGGAAUCUACUUUUUCGUGGGGGAUAACGUAGGGAAACUUACGCUAAUACCGCAUACGACCUACGGGUGAAAGCAGGGGAUCUUCGGACCUUGCGCGAUUGAAUGAGCCGAUGUCGGAUUAGCUAGUUGGCGGGGUAAAGGCCCACCAAGGCGACGAUCCGUAGCUGGUCUGAGAGGAUGAUCAGGCACACUGGAACUGAGACACGGUCCAGACUCCUACGGGAGGCAGCAGUGGGGAAUAUUGGACAAUGGGCGCAAGCCUGAUCCAGCCAUACCGCGUGGGUGAAGAAGGCCUUCGGGUUGUAAAGCCCUUUUGUUGGGAAAGAAAAGCAGCAGGUUAAUACCCCGCUGUUCUGACGGUACCCAAAGAAUAAGCACCGGCUAACUUCGUG